rnacentral:lncRNA from 14 species
AUUUCCAUUUGCAAAUUCAUGGGGGGGGUCCAGCGCCCGUUGGGAGGGGUCCACGGGGGUCCCCCCCAUUUGGUGUCCCCCCCGGGCCAUGUGCCCCCCAGGCCUCGCUCAAUGGGAUGCAGCUCGGCGACAAGAAGCUGCUGGUGCAGAGGGCGAGCGUGGGGGCCAAGAACGCCACGCUGAGCACCAUCAACCAGACGCCGGUGACGCUGCAGGUGCCGGGGCUGAUGAGCUCGCAGGUGCAGAUGGGCGGCCACCCCACCGAGGUGCUGUGCCUGCUCAACAUGGUGCUGCCCGAGGAGCUGCUGGACGACGAGGAGUACGAGGAGAUCGUCGAGGACGUUGGCGGGCGGAAUGCGGCACGGUCAAAUCCAUCGAGAUCCCGCGUCCCGUGGACGGCGUCGAGGUGCCCGGCUGUGGAAAGGUGAGAGAUGAGAGAUAUCAGCUCACCUGUGUGCCCAGGUGUGCUGGGAAUGGGAUGGGAACAGGCAGGUGGGGCAGUCAUCCAUCGAGAUCCGCGGGUACUGUGGGGGGGGGUGGGGGAAAGUAGGUAUGGAAGGGGAAGUUGGGGGGCGGGUGCCGGCUGUGGAAAGGUGAGAAUGGAAGGGGUCACCUGUGUGCCCAGGUGUGCUGGGAAUGGGGCAGGGGAGGGGGCAGGUACGGCACCGUCAGAUCCAUUGAGAUCCCGCGGCCCGUGGAUGGAGUGGAAGUACCUGGGUGUGGAAAGAUUUUCGUGGAGUUCACGUCGGUGUUCGACUGCCAGAAGGCCAUGCAGGGCCUCACGGGCCGCAAGUUCGCCAACCGCGUCGUGGUCACCAAGUUCUGCGACCCCGACUCGUACCACCGCCGCGACUUCUGGUAGCCCCGCCCCCGGCCCCGCCCCCCGGCCGCGGCCCCGCCCCCCGGCCGCGGCCCCGCCCCCUUUCCCCCCCAUUUCCCGCGGUUUCCCCCCCCCCCAAAAACCCCGCCCCCCUCUCUCCCCUCCCCCACCCCGCGCUGGUUUCUCGUUGUAGCUUCGGCCGCCCCUCCCCCACCCAUCGCCCCUCCCCCCCCCGCACCCAUCGCCCCUCCCCCCACCCCCCACCCCCCGCGGCGUUUUUUGGUAUUGGCGGGAAAAGGGGGGAGGGGCGGCGGCAAAAGGGGGGGAGGGGAACCCCCCCGAGCGCCCCUCCCCAACCCCAUCCCCCCUUCCCCCCCGACGGGAUUAAACGAUUUUUCCAGUUUUUGGUGGUUUUGGUGUUUUUGG